rnacentral:rRNA from 1 species
AGUGAACGCUGGCGGUAGGCCUAACACAUGCAAGUCGAACGGCAGCACAGUAAGAGCUUGCUCUUACGGGUGGCGAGUGGCGGACGGGUGAGGAAUACAUCGGAAUCUACUUUUUCGUGGGGGAUAACGUAGGGAAAGUUACGCUAAUACCGCAUACGACCUACGGGAGAGAGCAGGGGAUCUUCGGACCUUGCGCGACUGAAUGAGCCGAUGUCGGAUUAGCUAGUUGGCGGGGUAAAGGCCCACCAAGCCGACGAUCCGUAGCUGGUCUGAGAGGAUGAUCAGCCACACUGGAACUGAGACACGGUCCAGACUCCUACGGGAGGCAGCAGUGGGGAAUAUUGGACAAUGGGCGCAAGCCUGAUCCAGCCAUACCGCGUGAGUGAAGAAGGCCUUCGGGUUGUAAAGCCCUUUUGUUGGGAAAGAAAAGCAGCAGGUUAAUACCCCGCUGUUCUGACGGUACCCAAAGAAUAAGCACCGGCUAACUUCGUG